rnacentral:lncRNA from 1 species
AGGUAACCCAUUCAGUCAUUCUGGUGUGUUUCUUCCAUGUUUUUUACUGACAUACUUCGUGUGUUGAAACUGCUAUCCAUUUUUUCCAAAAUGUCUCUAGUUCGUUUCGUCACAUGCGGAACACUUUCAGAACAAUUAAACCAGGUGAAGUCUGCGCUUCUUUGUUGCAGUCUUAUGUGAACAUGGAUUGUUUGCAGUCAUCCAGUGAAAGGUGUGAUUAAAUUGAGCUGUUGCAUGCAGUCUUUGGUGCUGAUGUUGUCCUGGAGUGUGGGAGAGUUCCAUGCUUCAAGUCUUCUGGGAUCAGCCAUAUCUGAGUUGACACUGGAUCAUGCUGCAUUGUGGUUGCCGAAAUGUUGGACAUCUAGUUCUAGUAGAACUGCAAGAAGACUCUUUGAAAUGGUUUAUGUUUACGUAGCAGUGAUGUUAACUGUCCAAUAUGGCAUGUUGUUGCAGCCUAUACU